UACGUAGGGUGCGAGCGUUAAUCGGAAUUACUGGGCGUAAAGUGUGCGCAGGUGGCCGCGCAAGUCGAGUGUGAAAUCCCCGAGCUUAACUUGGGAACUGCGCUUGUAACUGAGGGGCUAGAGUGUGGCAGAGGGGGGUGGAAUUCCACGUGUAGCGGUGAAAUGCGUAGAUAUGUGGAGGAACACCGAUGGCGAAGGCAGCCCCCUGGGCCAAUACUGACGCUCAUGCACGAAAGCGUGGGGAGCGAACAGG
rnacentral:rRNA from 1 species